GGGCAAUCUAAUCGGCUCUCAUUGUUGUGAGGUCGUUGAGCAACUCCUGUUUGUAUCACAAGCAUCGCCAUUGAAAAAUGCAGACAACACGGUGAUUCUAGGUUGCGACGCUUCUUCUCUGAUCCUCAUCUUCGGCCACAAUAUUGCCUCAUGCCUUCUCCGAUGACUUGAGAAGCGAAAGGAAUCCUGAACAUGCUCACGGAAAUCUUAUAUGUCAUCUUUUCACUCGCCAAGGUGCACUGUUUCAAUGGUGAUGCUUAUGAUACGAACUUCGUUGCCAUACCCCGCAGGAUGCCUCAAAGAUGCCCAGAGAUCACGAAGGCUCCGAGGAGACUAGCUAAAACCACUUCAAGCACGUCUCCGAAGAGCUUCAACGACACGCAGGUACAGUCUUCAUCAAUCUCACAAGCAUGAAAUUAUAUUUGACAUUCGCAACAUAUGAUUUAACAAAUUUAACAAAGAAUCUUCAGUAUUGUGAGGCAUUUUUUUUAUUUAUCACGAGACGCCGAAUCAAUUAAUCGCAAGUCUAUAUGCUCUUUCUUCUUCUUCCUCCUCUAGUUACAUCAUUCACGGUAGACAUCGCAAUAUUGACACAGUUUAUUCAACACCAGAUUAUUGCAGCUUGACCUCAACCACAAAUUUUGCAUUUGAUCGAAACUGUUACUCCAUCGAACUGUAACGAAUUUAGCUCACCUUGGCGAGCAUGUUGAAGUUGCAAAACAGUGAUUUGCUUGUUGUACACCUCUCAUAAUUGCGGUGAUUCCAGUCAAAGCUUGAUGAGAAAUUUGUGACAGGCAGUUUCAGUAGGUAAUUUUUUGUUUGAUUUGUUUGUUUGUUUGCUAAUGCCACAAUUUUUGCUACUAUCAUUGCAACUUGCCAUCCAUCAUAUGUUAUAGUAGAUUUUGCUCAUGCCACCACAAGUUUUUCUGAACUUACAUUGCACACCACAAUGUACUUUACAGAACACUAAAGAUUGUGGUGUACCUUAGGAAUGCUAUAUAAAAUGCAUUAUAGUGUGCAAUGCAAAUUUAAGGCAGUUUAUGGUGGCAGCAGCAAAAAAUUUAGUGGCAUUAACCACACCCUAAAAAGAUGUUCAAAGGUCUAAAUUCAAAAGAAUGCAAAUAGUAAAUGCAAAUAUUUGUUUGAUGUAAUUUACAAUUGAGA
rnacentral:lncRNA from 1 species